AGGUGUGCUGUGAGGCAUGCUGGAGGUAUCAGAAGUGCGAAUGCUGACAUAAGUAACGAUAAAGCGGGUGAAAAGCCCGCUCGCCGGAAGACCAAGGGUUCCUGUCCAACGUUAAUCGGGGCAGGGUGAGUCGACCCCUAAGGCGAGGCCGAAAGGCGUAGUCGAUGGGAAACAGGUUAAUAUUCCUGUACUUGGUGUUACUGCGAAGGGGGGACGGAGAAGGCUAUGUUGGCCGGGCGACGGUUGUCCCGGUUUAAGCGUGUAGGCUGGUUUUCCAGGCAAAUCCGGAAAAUCAAGGCUGAGGCGUGAUGACGAGGCACUACGGUGCUGAAGCAACAAAUGCCCUGCUUCCAGGAAAAGCCUCUAAGCAUCAGGUAACAUCAAAUCGUACCCCAAACCGACACAGGUGGUCAGGUAGAGAAUACCAAGGCGCUUGAGAGAACUCGGGUGAAGGAACUAGGCAAAAUGGUGCCGUAACUUCGGGAGAAGGCACGCUGAUAUGUAGGUGAAGUCCCUCGCGGAUGGAGCUGAAAUCAGUCGAAGAUACCAGCUGGCUGCAACUGUUUAUUAAAAACACAGCACUGUGCAAACACGAAAGUGGACGUAUACGGUGUGACGCCUGCCCGGUGCCGGAAGGUUAAUUGAUGGGGUCAGCGCAAGCGAAGCUCUUGAUCGAAGCCCCGGUAAACGGCGGCCGUAACUAUAACGGUCCUAAGGUAGCGAAAUUCCUUGUCGGGUAAGUUCCGACCUGCACGAAUGGCGUAAUGAUGGCCAGGCUGUCUCCACCCGAGACUCAGUGAAAUUGAACUCGCUGUGAAGAUGCAGUGUACCCGCGGCAAGACGGAAAGACCCCGUGAACCUUUACUAUAGCUUGACACUGAACAUUGAGCCUUGAUGUGUAGGAUAGGUGGGAGGCUUUGAAGUGUGGACGCCAGUCUGCAUGGAGCCGACCUUGAAAUACCACCCUUUAAUGUUUGAUGUUCUAACGUGGACCCGUGAUCCGGGUUGCGGACAGUGUCUGGUGGGUAGUUUGACUGGGGCGGUCUCCUCCUAAAGAGUAACGGAGGAGCACGAAGGUUGGCUAAUCCUGGUCGGACAUCAGGAGGUUAGUGCAAUGGCAUAAGCCAGCUUGACUGCGAGCGUGACGGCGCGAGCAGGUGCGAAAGCAGGUCAUAGUGAUCCGGUGGUUCUGAAUGGAAGGGCCAUCGCUCAACGGAUAAAAGGUACUCCGGGGAUAACAGGCUGAUACCGCCCAAGAGUUCAUAUCGACGGCGGUGUUUGGCACCUCGAUGUCGGCUCAUCACAUCCUGGGGCUGAAGUAGGUCCCAAGGGUAUGGCUGUUCGCCAUUUAAAGUGGUACGCGAGCUGGGUUUAGAACGUCGUGAGACAGUUCGGUCCCUAUCUGCCGUGGGCGCUGGAGAACUGAGGGGGGCUGCUCCUAGUACGAGAGGACCGGAGUGGACGCAUCACUGGUGUUCGGGUUGUCAUGCCAAUGGCACUGCCCGGUAGCUAAAUGCGGAAGAGAUAAGUGCUGAAAGCAUCUAAGCACGAAACUUGCCCCGAGAUGAGUUCUCCCUGACCCUUUAAGGGUCCUGAAGGAACGUUGAAGACGACGACGUUGAUAGGCCGGGUGUGUAAGCGCAGCGAUGCGUUGAGCUAACCGGUACUAAUGAACCGUGAGGCUUAACCUUACAACGCCGAAGGUGUUU
rnacentral:rRNA from 1 species